rnacentral:rRNA from 1 species
GACGAACGCUGGCGGCGUGCUUAACACAUGCAAGUCGAACGGAAAGGCCCUGCUUUUGUGGGGUGCUCGAGUGGCGAACGGGUGAGUAACACGUGAGUAACCUGCCCUUGACUUUGGGAUAACUUCAGGAAACUGGGGCUAAUACCGGAUAGGAGCUCCUGCUGCAUGGUGGGGGUUGGAAAGUUUCGGCGGUUGGGGAUGGACUCGCGGCUUAUCAGCUUGUUGGUGGGGUAGUGGCUUACCAAGGCUUUGACGGGUAGCCGGCCUGAGAGGGUGACCGGCCACAUGGGGACUGAGAUACGGCCCAGACUCGUACGGGAGGCAGAAGUGGGGAGUAUUGCACAAUGGGCGGAAGCCUGAUGCAGCAACGCCGCGUGCGGGAUGACGGCCUUCGGGUUGUAAACCGCUUUCGCCUGUGACGAAGCGUGAGUGACGGUAAUGGGUAAAGAAGCACCGGCUAACUACGUG